UACGUAGGGUCCGAGCGUUGUUCGGAAUUACUGGGCGUAAAGCGCGUGUAGGCGGCAACGCAAGUCGGGCGUGAAAUCCCACGGCUCAACCGUGGAAGUGCACUCGAAACUGCGUCGCUAGAGUCCUGGAGAGGAAGGUGGAAUGCUUGGUGUAGAGGUGAAAUUCGUAGAUAUCAAGCGGAACACCGGUGGCGAAGGCGGCCUUCUGGACAGUGACUGACGCUGAGACGCGAAAGCGUGGGGAGCAAACAGG
rnacentral:rRNA from 1 species